CACGCCCUAAACGAUGCGAACUGGAUGUUGGGUGCAACUUGGCACUCAGUAUCGAAGCUAACGCGUGAAGUUGACCGCCUGGGGANACGCGAAAAACCUUACCCACUUUUGACAUGUACGGAAGUUGCCAGAGAUGGCUUCGUGCUCGAAAGAGAACCGUAACACAGGUGC
rnacentral:rRNA from 1 species